AGCGAACGCUGGCGGCAGGCCUAACACAUGCAAGUCGAACGAAGUCUUCGGACUUAGUGGCGGACGGGUGAGUAACACGUGGGAACGUGCCCUUUGGUACGGAAUAACUCAGGGAAACUUGAGCUAAUACCGUAUGUGCCCUUCGGGGGAAAGAUUUAUCGCCAUUGGAGCGGCCCGCGUCUGAUUAGCUAGUUGGUGAGGUAAAGGAUCACCAAGGCGACGAUCAGUAGCUGGCCUGAGAGGAUGAUCAGCCACAUUGGGACUGAGACACGGCCCAAACUCCGACGGGAGGCAGCAGUGGGGAAUCUUGCGCAAUGGGCGAAAGCCUGACGCAGCCAUGCCGCGUGAAUGAUGAAGGUCUUAGGAUUGUAAAAUUCUUUCACCGGGGGCGAUAAUGACGGUACCCGGACAAGAAGCCCCGGCUAACUUCGUGCCAGCAGCCGCCGUAACAC
rnacentral:rRNA from 1 species